AACAGGUUCUCCAUCCCAGUGUUUCUGUCCCUGCCAUGUCCCCAGGGCAGGAGAAAGUGCUCCCAGCAUGACCUGAGCUUUGCUCUGCACACAGGUUUGCAGUGCAGACCCUGAAGUCCCUGCUCUGCCAAAUGCAGGGUGAGUGUGUGGUGAUGGCAGUGGAGUGCAAGUGUGGCUGGGACACGCUGCUGUGUGCUGGCACCCACCACUAUGCCGUGGGUCUGCUGGCCAGGGAGAUGUCCUGUGUCUCCCCACCACUGUGUUCCCGGGUCUUUCGCUACCUUCUCCAGCUUCUCAGCACACAGGAGCCACGCCGGGAUCUGCCCGCCCUGGCAUUCAUGGUGGAGGUCCUCAAGUACCAGGACUUGAGUGGAAGCAGUGGUAAACGCGUCCUGCAAAUCUUGUCACGGCACCUGCAGAGCGAGUGCAGGGAGAAGCGUUACCUUGCACUCAGGGCCCUUCUCAAGCUCAUUGACGAUCCUUCGCUGGUGAGAAGGGGGCAGUGCCUCAAGCUGUGCUGGGGAAAGCAGCCCCUUGUGUUGGCUGGGCUUCGGGUGCUGGGG
rnacentral:lncRNA from 12 species